GCCGGAGUAGCUCAGCUGGUAGAGCAAGCGAUUUGUAAUCGCUAGGUCGUGGGUUCGAGUCCCGCCUCCGGCU
rnacentral:tRNA from 2 species